AUGUGCCUGUGUUUCAGUCUGGAGGGGAAUUCAUCGUCUUCCACAAUGUCACCUGCUUCACUUAUUCUGUCGCAAGCCAACAGCCCAACCAGCGGCAGCUUUACUGACUUCAUCCACAAGUUUCGUGAUGACACAGGUUUGAGAGCAAAACUCCAGACUCUGCCUGAUCUGGAGAAGGUGGAGUUGAUGGUGAAAUGCCUGACUGAGAGCUGGGCCCACUGGAUCCUCAACCUCAUCCACACGUGCCCCACUCUGAAGGAAGUAAAGUUACACGCUUCAGGUUUCAAUGAAGGCAGAAUUCAGCACUCACACAAACACACUCACCCUACGUCUCACACACACACACACACUCGCCCUACGUCACACACACUCACACACUCGCCCUACGUCACACACACACACACUUACUUCAUAACCGUGCAUUUCUAUGUCACACACACACACUCACUUCAUAACCGUGCGUCCCUACAUCACAAACACACACACACACUCACUUCAGACUCUAAAGGCUUAUCUUCACGAGGUUAUAAGGUAUGUUGGGCUCCUCCCUGUCUGCCGCUGAUCAGCCAAUCAGAAGAGCAGCUGGAGUAGACUAGCAAAUCACUAAUGAGGUGCAGCAGCCAAUCAGCUGAAGCUAGGAGGAGCUGUAUAAUUCCUCUGUCAUGUCAUUUAUUUACUGUAGCCAUACAUUCUCAUUCUUUAGUGUGUGUGUGUGUGUGUGUGUGUGUGUGUGUGUGUGUGUGUUGUGUGUGUGUGUGUGUGUGUGUGUGUGUGUGUGUGUGUGUGUGUGUGUGAGAGUGAGAGAGAGAGGAAAAUAAAGUGUGUUCCAGUACCA
rnacentral:lncRNA from 1 species